rnacentral:rRNA from 1 species
AUACCCUGGUAGUCCACGCCGUAAACGAUGUCGACUUGGAGGUUGUGCCCUUGAGGCGUGGCUUCCGGAGCUAACGCGUUAAGUCGACCGCCUGGGGAGUACGGCCGCAAGGUUAAAACUCAAAUGAAUUGACGGGGGCCCGCACAAGCGGUGGAGCAUGUGGUUUAAUUCGAUGCAACGCGAAGAACCUUACCUGGUCUUGACAUCCACAGAACCUUGUAGAGAUACGAGGGUGCCUUCGGGAACUGUGAGACAGGUGCUGCAUGGCUGUCGUCAGCUCGUGUUGUGAAAUGUUGGGUUAAGUCCCGCAACGAGCGCAACCCUUAUCCUUUGUUGCCAGCGGUCCGGCCGGGAACUCAAAGGAGACUGCCAGUGAUAAACUGGAGGAAGGUGGGGAUGACGUCAAGUCAUCAUGGCCCUUACGACCAGGGCUACACACGUGCUACAAUGGCGCAUACAAAGAGAAGCGACCUCGCGAGAGCAAGCGGACCUCAUAAAGUGCGUCGUAGUCCGGAUUGGAGUCUGCAACUCGACUCCAUGAAGUCGGAAUCGCUAGUAAUCGUGGAUCAGAAUGCCACGGUGAAUACGUUCCCGGGCCUUGUACACACCGCCCGUCACACCAUGGGAGUGGGUUGCAAAAGAAGUAGGUAGCUUAACCUUCGGGAGGGCGCUUACCACUUUGUGAUUCAUGACUGGGGUGAAGUCGUAACAAGGUAACCGUAGGGGAACCUGCGGUUGGAUCAC